AUGGCCACCGGGUCCUUGUCAUCGGCGUCGUUCAAGUCGCCGAGAUCGUUCGACGCGCACAGGUCGUUCAUGAAGUCCAGGGUCGCCGACGACGACUGCCCGGCCAUGGUCCCUGACCUGGACCUGGACCUCGACGGCGAGGCCGCGCGUGGUCAUGGCAAGAAGAAGGGCGGCUUCAGGUCGCCGUUCGUGAGGAUCGUGAGCAAGCAGAUGGUGGGCGUGUUCCUGACCAUCUGGGUGCGGCGCGGCCUGCGGAGGUGCGUCCAGAACAUCAAGGUGUCCACCGUGGGCGUGGGCGCCAUGGGCUACAUCGGCAACAAGGGGUCGGUGUCGGCGAGCAUGUCCAUCUACCAGACCAUGUUCUGCUUCGUCUGCACCCACCUGUCCGCCGGCGAGCGGCCCGGCAACCUCCUCAAGCGGAACACCGACGUGCAGGAGAUCCACCGGCGGACGCGCUUCGCCGGCCCCGGCGGCCUCGAGCUGCCCCGAGACAUCUACGACCACGAGAGGAUUUUCUGGCUGGGCGAUCUGAACUACCGGAUCGACGUGCCGUACGACAGAACCCACGGCCUGAUCGCCGCCAUGGACUGGCCUCAGCUAGCCGAGAAAGAUCAGCUGAAGCGGGAGCUGAGGAAGGGGCGGGCGUUCGAGGGUUGGAGCGAGGGGGUGCUGGAGUUCGCGCCGACGUACAAGUACGAGAUCGGGACGGGCAAGUACAUCGGCGACGACCAGAAAGGGGGGAGGAGGACGCCGGCGUGGUGCGACCGGGUGCUGUCGUUCGGGAAGGGCCGACUGCUGGGCUACGGGAGGUCGGAGCUGACGCUGUCGGACCACAAGCCGGUGACGGCGACGUACACGGCGGAGGUGGAGGUGUUCUGCGGGCGAAAGCUGCAGAGGGCGCUCACGCUCACGACGAGCUGGAUCCUUCACUCCAAGAAACCAUGGCCGCGAGCUGGAAGGCGGCGUCGAGAUGGACGGCGGCGGCGAUCUGGAGCAGACGAGCUGAAGAAGAAGAAGCAGAUAGGAGAGUGGAGAGGAGAGAGCCGACAGGAUAGGAUAUUCCAAAGGAAUAUACCCACAAGUUAA
rnacentral:rRNA from 1 species